UACGAAGGGAGCGAGCGUUGUUCGGAAUCACUGGGCUUAAAGCGUGCGUAGGCGGAUAUAUAAGUCAGGAGUGAAAUCCCAGGGCUUAACCCUGGAACUGCUUUUGAGACUGUAUGUCUGGAAUCCGGUAGAGGUUAGCGGAACUCCCAGUGUAGAGGUGAAAUUCGCAGAUAUUGGGAAGAACACCAGUGGCGAAGGCGGCUAACUGGACCGGAAUUGACGCUGAGGCACGAAAGCGUGGGGAGCAAACAGG
rnacentral:rRNA from 1 species